UACGUAGGUGGCAAGCGUUGUCCGGAUUUAUUGGGCGUAAAGCGAGUGCAGGCGGUUCAAUAAGUCUGAUGUGAAAGCCUUCGGCUCAACCGGAGAAUUGCAUCAGAAACUGUUGAACUUGAGUGCAGAAGAGGAGAGUGGAACUCCAUGUGUAGCGGUGGAAUGCGUAGAUAUAUGAAAGAACACCAGUGGCGAAGGCGGCUCUCUGGUCUGCAACUGACGCUGAGGCUCGAAAGCAUGGGUAGCGAACAGG
rnacentral:rRNA from 1 species